rnacentral:misc_RNA from 1 species
UACGUAGGGUGCAAGCGUUAUCCGGAAUCACUGGGUUUAAAGGGUACGUAGGCGGUCAAAUAAGUCAGGUGUGAAAUACCGCGGCCUAACUGCGGAACUGCACUUGAUACUGCUUGACUUGAGUAGGGUGGAGGUACACGGAAUGCAUCAUGUAGCGGUGAAAUGCUUAGAUAUGAUGUAGAACACCGAUAGCGAAGGCAGUGUACCAUACCUUCACUGACGCUGAGGUACGAAAGCGUGGGGAGCAAACAGG